UACCCAUGGAAGAGGCUGAUUUUGAAGAGAAAGAUACUUUCUUAAUC
rnacentral:sRNA from 1 species